CGCCCGUCACACCAUGAGAGUUGAUAAUACCAGAAGUCGGUAUUCUAACCGCAAGGAGGAAGCCGCCCAAGGUAGGAUUGAUGAUUAGGGUGAAGUCGUAACAAGGUAUCCGUACGAGAACGUGCGGAUGGAUCACCUCCUUUCUAUGGAGUUAAUACUUUAUAGUAAUUAACUAGUUUUAAUGACCGUUAUGUUUAGUUUUCAGAGAUUAGUUUCUCUGAAAAUAACAAGUAAAUGUUAUUGGAAUUGUUCUUUGAAAACUGGAUAAUAGACAUCUAGUUAUUUUAAUCACAUGAUUAAAAUAACAAUAAUUCAAAAUUUCUGUUAUUUUUAAAAAAUAACUAAAAUUUCACAGUUAUAUUUGUAAAUGAUUCUCAAAAAACUGAUUUAAAAUCAGGUCAAAUAAUUUAUAAAACUUUGAAGUUACAAAGGGCGUAUGGUGAAUGCCUUGGGAAUAGGAGACGAUGAAGGACGUGGCUACCUGCGAUAAGGUUCGGGGAGCUGGAAGUAAGCUUUGAUCCGGACAUGUCCGAAUGGGGAAACCCGGUGAGAUUAAUCUCUCAUCAUCCUAUAAUGAAUAAAUAGUUAUAGUGAAGGUAUACCUAGGGAAUUGAAACAUCUUAGUACCUAGAGGAAAAGAAAGCGAAUGCGAUUCUCUUAGUAGCGGCGAGCGAACGGGGAACAGCCCAAACCAGAUUUAUCUGGGGUUGUAGGACCAUAAAUAGUAGAGUUACAAAACUUGUUUAUAGUAGAAAUGGUUGGGAAACCAUGCCGUAGAGGGUGAUAGCCCCGUAUACGAAAUAGACAAGACUCGAAAUGGAAUCCUGAGUACGGCGAGACACGUGAAAUCUUGUCGGAAUCAACGCGGACCACCGCGUAAGGCUAAAUACUACCUAUUCACCGAUAGUGAACCA
rnacentral:sRNA from 1 species